rnacentral:misc_RNA from 1 species
AGCCACCCUCACGGCCAGGACGCAUGUGAUGGGCAUGUGAAGGAUCAUGGGCACGGGCACAAUCACCGGUUCAGUGAGGGUGACGAGGAGAGUGGAGCACGACAUGUCGCCGUUUCGCAGAUACUGGAACUUGGGGUUGUAUCCCAUUCGGUUAUUAUUGGAUUAUCACUGGGAGUUUCACAGAGCCCAUGUACCAUAAGACCCUUGAUAGCAGCGUUAUCAUUUCAUCAAUUCUUUGAAGGGUUUGCGCUUGGAGGGUGCAUCUCACAGGCACAGUUCAAGACCCUAUCAGCUACAAUAAUGGCGUGCUUUUUCGCCAUAACAACUCCUGCUGG